rnacentral:rRNA from 1 species
UACAGAGGGUGCAAGCGUUGUUCGGAAUUACUGGGCGUAAAGCGCGUGUAGGCGGCGGCGUAAGUCGAAUGUGAAAGCCCUUGGCUUAACCAAGGAAGUGCAUUCGAUACUGCGUCGCUUGAGUGCCGGAGGGGAUGGCGGAAUUCCUGGUGUAGAGGUGAAAUUCGUAGAUAUCAGGAGGAACACCUGUGGCGAAGGCGGCCAUCUGGACGGUGACUGACGCUGAGGCGCGAAAGCGUGGGGAGCAAACAGG